UACGUAGGGUCCGAGCGUUUGUCCGGAAUUAUUGGGCGUAAAGAGCUCGUAGGCGGUCUGUCGCGUCUGCUGUGAAAACUCGGGGCUUAACCCCGGGCCUGCAGUGGGUACGGGCAGACUAGAGUGCGGUAGGGGAGACUGGAAUUCCUGGUGUAGCGGUGGAAUGCGCAGAUAUCUGGAGGAAUACCGGUGGCGAAGGCGGCAUCCUGGACCAUAACUGACGCUGAGGCGCGAAAGCUAGGGGAGCAAACGGGG
rnacentral:rRNA from 1 species